rnacentral:rRNA from 1 species
AGUGAACGCUGGCGGUAGGCCUAACACAUGCCAGUCGAACGGCAGCACAGUAAGAGUUUGCUCUUACGGGUGGCGAGUGGCGGACGGGUGAGGAAUACAUCGGAAUCUUCUUUUUCGUGGGGGAUAACGUAGGGAAACUUACGCUAAUACCGCAUACGAUCUACGGGUGAAAGCAGUGGAUCUUCGGACCUUGCGCGAUUGAAUGAGCCGAUGUCGGAUUAGCUAGUUGGCGGGGUAAAGGCCCACCAAGGCGACGAUCCGUAGCUGGUCUGAGAGGAUGAUCGGCCACACUGGAACUGAGACACGGUCCAGACUCCUACGGGAGGCAGCAGUGGGGAAUAUUGGGCAAUGGGCGCAAGCCUGAUCCAGCCAUACCGCGUGGGUGAAGAAGGCCUUCGGGUUGUAAAGCCCUUUUGUUGGGAAAGAAAAGCAGCAGGUUAAUACCCCGCUGUUCUGACGGUACCCAAAGAAUAAGCACCGGCUAACUUCGUG